CUUUUCUUUUUUAUCUUCUUUUCCUCCAACUUCUGGUGCAAUCCUCCAUCGUCGAGGGCUUCGAAGCUUCUCCUCUAUACCCGUGACCCUCAUCUUCGAGGGGUGUGUGACAAAGAGGAAGGAUGAUGGAAGGAGACAACUUCUCAGUCUUCGGCAAUGGAACCCAAGUGGAUAGCAAAGUCUUCCAAUCCUUCCAGAAGAGCUUCCUUCAGCCUCAGCCGCAAUGUGGGCUUGAUCAGAGAGCUCAACAAUAACAUCCGGCGUGUCGUCGACCUCUACGCUGAUCUCUCCCUCUCCUUCACCAAAUCCGUGGAAGCAUCGUCCGAGUGGAGCUCCGCAGUGAGGCAACCAAGC